CUUGACCCCCAUAAGAGGUCCAGCCUGCCCAGUGACACUGUUCAACGGCCGCGGUAUCCUAACCGUGCGAAGGUAGCGUAAUCACUUGUUCUUUAAAUGAGGACUAGUAUGAAAGGCACCACGAGAGUCAUACUGUCUCCUUUCUCUAAUCAGUGAAACUAAUCCCCCCGUGAAGAAGCGGGGAUGAAAAUAUAAGACGAGAAGACCCUAUGGAGCUUUAAACAAAUGAUACUUGCCUACUUCUUUUUAAUUUCAGAAAAACUACCUACCCUGGCUCUAUAAUUACUAGUUUUCGGUUGGGGUGACCGCGGAGCAAAACCCAACCUCCGCAAUGAAAAUAUCCUUCCACUUAGUUAAGGACUACAAUCCUACACAUCAACAAAUUGCCAUCACUUGACCCAACAUGUUGAUCAAUGAAC
rnacentral:rRNA from 1 species